CAUCUUCUUGCUUCUUUGUAGCAUAGUCCCGUAGAAGAGCUCCAUAGCGUGUAUGGUGUUGGUCGAUAUUCGAAAGGUCUUCUGAAGGGAUUGACAAAUCUCCAAGGCUAACAUGCUUUGCAAAAGCAGCCACAAAUCCCCUACAAUCGCUGCAUAAGACACAAAACUUUAAUUAUUUAACAAAUAAUUGUAAAAAAAAUAAUCAAUCAUCUAGAAAGAGAGAAUAUUUUUUUUACAGUGAUCCUUCCUUUUGUUGUGGAAUAUCCGUAACCAACCACUGUAUGUUGAGAGGGUCAGUAACUGGUUUCUCAAUGUAUUCCUAUGUGGUCUUGAAGUCAAUGUCUUUACGCUUCCCGUAGAAGCCAGUGCAAGACAAAUACAAAGGGAUAAUGACUGAAAACUUAUCAACACAUGAUUUAACAGCAUUAGAAUUGUGUGAAGAUACCAUGGAAUCAUACUCAUAAAGUUGCCUGUCCGCUAUGUCGAACACGACCAACAACUAAUGGAAAUUCUCUACAAUGUUCACGGGCAUGAUGACAUAGUCAACUUCAUCCCAGGAAACAUUAGCAAGAAUUCUAUACCCAAGAGUAUAUUCUACAAAAUCAUCAUCAGGUUUAACAACCGAAUAUUUUU
rnacentral:lncRNA from 1 species